rnacentral:rRNA from 1 species
UGACGAUUGACGGAGCGAAGCGACGUCAAAGCGUAUACAAAGUCGAGUCGGUUUAAGGAUACGUUCGUUGGGUAGGGGAGCGUUCUGUAAGCCUGCGAAGGUGGCCUGUGAGGGUUGCUGGAGGUAUCAGAAGUGCGAAUGCUGACAUAAGUAACGAUAAAGCGGGUGAAAAGCCCGCUCGCCGGAAGACCAAGGGUUCCUGUCCAACGUUAAUCGGGGCAGGGUGAGUCGACCCCUAAGGCGAGGCCGAAAGGCGUAGUCGAUGGGAAACGGGUUAAUAUUCCCGUACUUGGUGUUACUGCGAAGGGGGGACGGAGAAGGCUAUGUUGGCCGGGCGACGGUUGUCCCGGUUUAAGCGUGUAGGUGUGUGUUCCAGGUAAAUCCGGUUCACUUUAACACUGAGGCGUGACGACGAGGCACUACGGUGCUGAAGCAACAAAUGCCCUGCUUCCAGGAAAAGCCUCUAAGCAUCAGGUAACAUCAAAUCGUACCCCAAACCGACACAGGUGGUCAGGUAGAGAAUACCAAGGCGCUUGAGAGAACUCGGGUGAAGGAACUAGGCAAAAUGGUGCCGUAACUUCGGGAGAAGGCACGCUGACACGUAGGUGAAGUGAUUUACUCAUGGAGCUGAAGUCAGUCGAAGAUACCAGCUGGCUGCAACUGUUUAUUAAAAACACAGCACUGUGCAAACACGAAAGUGGACGUAUACGGUGUGACGCCUGCCCGGUGCCGGAAGGUUAAUUGAUGGGGUCAGCGCAAGCGAAGCUCCUGAUCGAAGCCCCGGUAAACGGCGGCCGUAACUAUAACGGUCCUAAGGUAGCGAAAUUCCUUGUCGGGUAAGUUCCGACCUGCACGAAUGGCGUAAUGAUGGCCAGGCUGUCUCCACCCGAGACUCAGUGAAAUUGAACUCGCUGUGAAGAUGCAGUGUACCCGCGGCAAGACGGAAAGACCCCGUGAACCUUUACUAUAGCUUGACACUGAACAUUGAGCCUUGAUGUGUAGGAUAGGUGGGAGGCUUUGAAGUGUGGACGCCAGUCUGCAUGGAGCCGACCUUGAAAUACCACCCUUUAAUGUUUGAUGUUCUAACGUGGACCCGUAAUCCGGGUUGCGGACAGUGUCUGGUGGGUAGUUUGACUGGGGCGGUCUCCUCCUAAAGAGUAACGGAGGAGCACGAAGGUUGGCUAAUCCUGGUCGGACAUCAGGAGGUUAGUGCAAUGGCAUAAGCCAGCUUGACUGCGAGCGUGACGGCGCGAGCAGGUGCGAAAGCAGGUCAUAGUGAUCCGGUGGUUCUGAAUGGAAGGGCCAUCGCUCAACGGAUAAAAGGUACUCCGGGGAUAACAGGCUGAUACCGCCCAAGAGUUCAUAUCGACGGCGGUGUUUGGCACCUCGAUGUCGGCUCAUCACAUCCUGGGGCUGAAGUAGGUCCCAAGGGUAUGGCUGUUCGCCAUUUAAAGUGGUACGCGAGCUGGGUUUAGAACGUCGUGAGACAGUUCGGUCCCUAUCUGCCGUGGGCGCUGGAGAACUGAGGGGGGCUGCUCCUAGUACGAGAGGACCGGAGUGGACGCAUCACUGGUGUUCGGGUUGUCAUGCCAAUGGCACUGCCCGGUAGCUAAAUGCGGAAGAGAUAAGUGCUGAAAGCAUCUAAGCACGAAACUUGCCCCGA